GACGAACGCUGGCGGCGUGCCUAAUACAUGCAAGUCGAACGCAGUGGGGACGGGUGAGUAACCCGUGGGUAACCUCCCAUCAGAGGGGAUACCACUUGGAAACAGGUGCUAAACCGAUACUGAUGGAUGGACCCGCGGUGCGUUAGCUAGAUGUUGAGGUAACGGAGCACCAAGGCCACGAGGCAUAGCCGACCUGAGAGGGGGAUCGGCCACAGUUGGACUGAGACACUGUCCAGACUCCUACGUGAGGCAGCAGUAGGGAAUCUUCGGCAAUGGACGAAAGGCUGACCGAGCAACGCCGCUUGAGUGAAGAAGGUUUUCGGAUCGUAAAACUCUGUUGUUAGAGAAGCGGUAUCUAACCAGAAAGCCACGGCUAACUACGUGCCAGCAGCCGCGGUAAUUC
rnacentral:rRNA from 1 species